UGGGGAAUAUUGCACAAUGGGCGCAAGCCUGAUGCAGCCAUGCCGCGUGUGUGAAGAAGGCCUUCGGGUUGUAAAGCACUUUCAGCGAGGAGGAAGGUGGUGGACUUAAUACGUUCAUCAAUUGACGUUACUCGCAGAAGAAGCACCGGCUAACUCCGUGCCAGCAGCCGCGGUAAUACGGAGGGUGCAAGCGUUAAUCGGAAUUACUGGGCGUAAAGCGCACGCAGGCGGUUUGUUAAGUCAGAUGUGAAAUCCCCCGGGCUCAACCUGGGAACUGCAUUUGAAACUGGCAAGCUAGAGUCUCGUAGAGGGGGGCUAGAAUUCCAGGUGUAGCGGUGAAAUGCGUAGAGAUCUGGAGGAAUACCGGUGGCGAAGGCGGCCCCCCUGGACGAAGACUGACGCUCAGGUGCGAAAGCGUGGGGCAGCAAACAGGAUUAGAUACCCUGGUAGUCCACGCUGUAAACGAUGUCGAUUUGGAGGUUGUGCCCUUGAGCGUGGCUUCCGGAGCUAACGCGUUAAAGUCGACCGCCUGGGGGAG
rnacentral:rRNA from 1 species